ACGCUCGACACCUACGGGAAGCAGCAGUGGGGAAUAUUGCACAAUGGGGGAAACCCUGAUGCAGCAACGCCGCGUGAAGGAAGACGGUUUUCGGAUUGUAAACUUCUGUUCUUAGUGAAGAUAGUGACGGUAGCUAAGGAGCAAGCCACGGCUAACUACGUUCACGCAGCCGCGGUAAUCUGAGCGGGCGUGGCGAAGGC
rnacentral:rRNA from 1 species